GCCCUGGUUGAUUAAUGGAAAUCACCCCCCCAUCUUGUCAGUGUCAAUAUGAUGUGGACAGUGGGAGUCGGAGGUUCGAAUCCUCCCCAGGGCG